rnacentral:rRNA from 1 species
GACAGAGGAUGCAAGCGUUAUCCGGAAUGAUUGGGCGUAAAGCGUCUGUAGGUGGCUUUUUAAGUCUGCCGUCAAAUCCCAGGGCUUAACCCUGGACAGGCGGUGGAAACUACCAAGCUGGGGUACGGUAGGGGCAGGGGGAAUUUCCGGUGGAGCGGUGAAAUGCGUAGAGAUCGGAAAGAACACCAACGGCGAAAGCACUCUGCUGGGCCGACACUGACACUGAGAGACGAAAGCUAGGGGAGCGAAUGGG